rnacentral:rRNA from 1 species
GAUCCUGGCUCAGGAUGAACGCUGGCGGCGUGCUUAACACAUGCAAGUCGAACGGGAAAUACUUUAUUGAAACUUCGGCGGAUUUAAUUUAUUUCUAGUGGCGGACGGGUGAGUAACGCGUGGGUAACCUGCCUUAUACUGGGGGAUAACAGCCAGAAAUGGCUGCUAAUACCGCAUAAGCGCACAGAACCGCAUGGUUCGGUGUGAAAAACUCCUGUGGUAUAAGAUGGACCCGCGUUGGAUUAGCUAGUUGG